rnacentral:rRNA from 1 species
CCUACGGGUGGCUGCAGUGGGGAAUAUUGGACAAUGGGGGCAACCCUGAUCCAGCCAUGCCGCGUGUGUGAAGAAGGCCCUCGGGUUGUAAAGCACUUUCAGUGAGGAAGAACGCCUGGUGGUUAAUACCCAUCAGGAAAGACAUCACUCACAGAAGAAGCACCGGCUAACUCCGUGCCAGCAGCCGCGGUAAUACGGAGGGUGCGAGCUUUAAUCGGAAUUACUGGGCGUAAAGCGCGCGUAGGUGGCUUGAUAAGCCGGUUGUGAAAGCCCCGGGCUCAACCUGGGAACGGCAUCCGGAACUGUCAAGCUAGAGUGCAGGAGAGGAAGGUAGAAUUCCCGGUGUAGCGGUGAAAUGCGUAGAGAUCGGGAGGAAUACCAGUGGCGAAGGCGGCCUUCUGGACUGACACUGACACUGAGGUGCGAAAGCGUGGGUAGCAAACAGGAUUAGAUACCCUGGUAGUC